rnacentral:rRNA from 1 species
GACGAACGCUGGCGGCGUGCUUAACACAUGCAAGUCGAACGAUGAAGCCGGAGCUUGCUCUGGUGAAUUAGUGGCGAACGGGUGAGUAACACGUGAGUAACCUGCCCUUGACUCUGGGAUAACUGCGGGAAACUGUAGCUAAUACCGGAUACGACCCUCGGAGGCAUCUCCUGGGGGUGGAAAGAAUGUCGGGCAAGGAUGGACUCGCGGCCUAUCAGCUAGUUGGUGAGGUAAAGGCUCACCAAGGCGACGACGGGUAGCCGGCCUGCGCGGGUGACCGGCCACACUGGGACGGAGACACGGCCCAGACUCCUACGGGAGGCAGCAGUGGUGAAUAUUGCACAAUGGGCGCAAGCCUGAUGCAGCAACGCCGCGUGAGGGAUGACGGCCUUCGGGUUGUAAACCUCUUUUAGCAGGGAAGAAGCGAAAGUGACGGUACCUGCAGAAAAAGCACCGGCUAACUACGUGCCAGCCGCCGCAGUAA